AUGUAUUGUUUAAUUUUUGCAGGCUUUUGGAUUUAUGACCAGAGUUGGCUUGAAGGCGGACAAAAUGGAUCACCACCCAGAAUGGUUCAAUGUUUACAACAAGGUUCAGAUUACCUUGAGUACCCAUGAUGUUGGGGGUUUGUCUCAAAGGGACGUUACCUUGGCGAAGUUCAUUGAGGAAGUGGCUAAAUAAUUCACAGUUAGACAUGAGUCAAAUCUUCCCUGGCCAUAUCAAAAUGUUGAAUGUGCAGUAGUAAUCAAGAUCUGUUGUUUGGCAAUUUUCUGUUAAUGUUGUUUAGAACUAUGCAUUUAAUUGUAGAGCUUUGUUUCCGAGGCAGGAGGUAAUUUGUUGUAGAAUAACUGCCCUUUGCCAUGUUCCACAAUGUAGUGGAUUAUGAUUUUCAUCAUUUGAAGCCAAAA